ACGCACGUUUCAUCGGCCUGCUUCUCUUGCAUGUGCAAGCAGUGUUGUUUCUGAUGCACUGCACAAAUAGGUGAAGGUUAACUAGCAGUUUAAACUGUAGCACUGGCAGUCUCCUUCAGACAAGU